UACGGUGAAUACGUUCCCGGACCUUGUACACACCGUCCGUCAAGCCAUGGAAGCUGGGUGUACCUAAAGUCGAUAACCGUAAGGAGUCGCCUAGGGUAAAACUAGUAACUGGGGCU
rnacentral:rRNA from 1 species